GGCCGUGAGGGGCCGUGAGGGGCCGUGAGGGCGGGAUCCGCUCGGAGGGGCCGGGGGAAAGUGGGGAACGAGCAGAACGCCGCAGGCAGAGUCCCGGCAUCGGGGAAAGGCCGCAGGGCCGAGGCGUCCCCCAGCUGGAGCGUCUCCAGGCUGGGGAGCUCAGGGAUAGCGCAGGUUCUUGAGGGGAGAAGAGCUGGUGCCCCUCAGAGCUCGGGUGCUGUGGCAGCGCUGGAGACACGGCUGAAGAGGGGCCUCAGAAGCCCCAGAGGGGCUCCAAUAGCCAUGGAGAGAGACUUUGGACAAGGGCCUGGAGUGACCGGACGCAGGGUGUCCAGCACUGCCCAGAUGCCUCAGGGUGACACACAGGGCCCUGGCUCAGGUUUCCAGACAGUGGCACCAGGUCAGGAGAGGGUGACCUGUGCUGGGAAUGCACCUGACUUCUGUGACACCACCAUCAUCCGCAUAGCAGAAGAAUGAAACAGUGACUGAAAACAUUCACAAAGUUCCUAUGAGCAGGUUUGCACAGCUCGGAGCUUUAUUUCGCAAGAAAAAGUUGGAACUCGG